GAUGAACGCUGGCGGUCUGCUUAACACAUGCAAGUCGAACGAAUCUCUUCGGAGAAGAGUGGCGGACGGGUGAGUAACGCGUGAGAAUCUGCCUCCAGAACGGGGACAACAGUUGGAAACGACUGCUAAUACCCGAUGAACCGAAAGGGAAAAGAUUUAUCGUCUGGAGAGGAGCUCGCGUCCGAUUAGCUAGUUGGUGUGGUAAAGGCGCACCAAGGCGGCGAUCGGUAGCUGGUUUGAGAGGACAAUCAGCCACACUGGGACUGAGACACGGCCCAGACUCCUACGGGAGGCAGCAGUGGGGAAUUUUCCGCAAUGGGCGAAAGCCUGACGGAGCAAGACCGCGUGAGGGAGGAAGGCUCUUGGGUUGUAAACCUCUUUUCUCAGGGAAGAAGCUCUGACGGUACCUGAGGAAUAAGCCUCGGCUAACUCCGUGCCAGCCGCCGCCGUAACAC
rnacentral:rRNA from 1 species